rnacentral:rRNA from 1 species
UACGAAGGGGGCUAGCGUUGUUCGGAUUUACUGGGCGUAAAGCGCACGUAGGCGGAUCGAUCAGUCAGGGGGUGAAAUCCCAGAGCUCAACUCUGGAACUGCCUUUGAUACUGUCGAUCUGGAGUAUGGAAGAGGUGAGUGGAAUUCCGAGUGUAGAGGUGAAAUUCGUAGAUAUUCGGAAGAACACCAGUGGCGAAGGCGGCUCACUGGCCCGGUACUGACGCUGAGGUGCGAAAGCGUGGGGAGCAAACAGG